rnacentral:rRNA from 1 species
AAUAGAUACCCGGGUAGUCCAUGCCGUAAACGUUGGGCACUAGGUGUGGGGUCCAUUCCACGGAUUCCGUGCCGCAGCUAACGCAUUAAGUGCCCCGCCUGGGGAGUACGGCCGCAAGGCUAAAACUCAGAGAAAUUGACGGGGGCCCGCACAAGCGGCGGAGCAUGCGGAUUAAUUCGAUGCAACGCGAAGAACCUUACCAAGGCUUGACAUACACCGGAAAAGUGCAGAGAUGUGCUCCCCGCAAGGUCGGUGUACAGGUGGUGCAUGGUUGUCGUCAGCUCGUGUCGUGAGAUGUUGGGUUAAGUCCCGCAACGAGCGCAACCCUCGUCCCAUGUUGCCAGCGGGUUAUGCCGGGGACUCAUGGGAGACUGCCGGGGUCAACUCGGAGGAAGGUGGGGAUGACGUCAAAUCAUCAUGCCCCUUAUGUCUUGGGCUUCACGCAUGCUACAAUGGCCGGUACAAAGGGCUGCGAUACCGUAAGGUGGAGCGAAUCCCAAAAAGCCGGUCUCAGUUCGGAUUGGGGU